GCGUAUCUACCAUAAAAAUUCGAGUCCGCGUGAUUCAUGACAAAUGAAUGAUAGGACCGAAAAAUUGGCUAGUAAAGGAAAAUCUUUAAACCACUUCGAAGGGGUAUUAUUGAAUCUCAUUUUAAUUCAUUGCUUUCAGGCGGCAAGUUCAAUUUCUCACUUGGCCGCAUUAGAAGAGCUCGCAAAUUGUGGGCAUCCAGCAAGAGAAUUGACUCGUUCUUCGGUUUUCACGCCAUGUUUAAUUUAGCUUCUAAUGGUAAUGAGCAAGCUAACGAGGCACCAGCAGCAGUUCCUUGUCAGCAACAAGACCCUGCGCACGUUGUCAGAUGGUAGCUCCGUAUGCAUCUUCCUCGCACGUCAGGUUUCAUUGAGUUUGGCCUCAAACAGAUUUCAGUAACAUCUGCAUCAAUUGGCUUCACGGUGGGUACGCGAAGGUCAGUCAGAGAAAGCGCAUAUAGAUAAGUUAUGAUGACGGUUGUGCGAACUUCUUUGUGUAACAGCGCUUGAUUUGGUUGCCGAUUCGGAACUUAAACGUAUACAAUUGUGGAUGUAGCAACUGGUGUGAGGUUUCGUUACUGUAGCCAAUAAACCUCAAUGAUGUCCAAUGGCCCAGCUCCGAAGAGAACGAGAUUUGCGGAAGAUUCUCAAACUAGCGUCGAUGGUAGUCUUGCUGAGCCAUCGACCAAUAGGGUAUACAUAAAAAAGAUCGAAAUGAAAAGAUUUCGCAGCUUCGCAGACACAACAAUCGAGUUCCACCCCGGCAUCAAUCUACUGGUUGGGCAGAACGGCUCGGGAAAGAGCAGCAUUAUCAAAGCCGUGGAACUUUGCUUGGCCGCUAUACAGACAUCGUAUAAAAAGUCAGCUCUUUCUAAUGCCCGAACGACGUUCUUGUCGCCAAUUGUUACUUCAGGGAAGCAGCAACAACCGACCGUGCUUAAGAUCGUUCUCGGUGACGUAAACACACAACAGUCUCCGGGCUCUGCAGAACUUGGAGAGCACCAUAUUCGCGUUGAAGCUCACUUUAACCGAGACUCGACCCAGUUGCAAAUCCUCUACAAUAUUGAUGGCCAAAACGUCACAUUCGCGCAGCUGCACGAAAGGCUGCGAUCUAUCGGCGUCACAACGAAAAGCGUUCAGUUCAUUCGGCAAAAUCAGCCAUUUUCAUCAGACGAGUUUGAGAGCGGCACCCUUAUGAAACAGUUGAGCAAUCUGGUCGACGCUGCUGUUUGGAAGCACUGGCAAAAAUGGGCCGAACACAUCCGAGAAUCUGGGGCAGAGGCGGUCACUAAGGCCGCGCAGGACAUUGACAGAGCGGAGGCCAUCUUGAAACAACUCAAGGAUGCAAGCACACUGCAAGCGAAGUAUUUAGCACUCAAGAAACAGAAGCGGAAAUUGGAACUUCAGCUUAAUGGAGAUGAGCUGCGGGCGCUCAAGAGUCAAAUCGUUAAGCUUGAGCUUGAUCUAUCACAAGUUUCCAAAUCUUACUGGCCGAUCGCAACCUCGUUAGAAGAAAUCUUAAGUACACGCAAGGCGCUCCAGUCGCAGCUGAGCUCCGCUAGACUCUACGGGGCAGAGGGCGCUUUCAUACGGAAGCAGUUGGUCAUCUUGCAAAAUCAGCUAAACACGCUUAAUAACGACCUGAACAGCAAACAAACCUACGUGAAAAAACUGCGCGUUGACGUUUUCAAAUGCCAAUCGACGGAGAGCAAAAUCCGUUCACUAGAGACCCAGAUUAGCGAAUCUGCGGAUUCGUUACAGCAGAUGGCGUCAAGGAUCAAAGAUCUCGAAGACGAGAUAGGUACGAAAGCUGCUAGGAAAGAUGCGUUGAUCCGGGUACUGACUGCAAGAACCCACGGAGAACAAGGUGUGCUUGACAGUAUGGAGGAUGCACGUAUCACUAGAGAAACGCAAACUUUAAAAAUGAUGAUACCCAAGUAUAAAAGUAAAAUGAAUAUGCUAAAGGCAUCCAAACACGACAAGGAAAGAACAAUUAAGGAAUUAGGUGAAAAAUUAAAAACGGUUCAGGAUCAACUCAGGGCGCAUAGCUCGGCAGAGGACGACCUACAGGACAGGCGAAAUCUUUUACUCAACGAAAAUCAACUAAUUAUUUCGGAGAUUAUCAAAAUAUCCAAUAACAGCUCAUCUUUCGAACUUGAAAGUGCACGCGAGCAACUUGCUGCGGCUAUGGGGCCCUUGGCCAACGUAUACUUCCGAAUUCCCGAUAUUUAUGAACGUCUUCGUCACUACAAAGAUUUCGACGGUUUCUGCGGAUGCAUCUUGGAUCUUAUUCACGUAGAUGAAGCAUAUCGAGUUGCUGUCCGCGCAGCUGAGGAAUUCCUAUACUCUUUUGUGGUCCCGAACCUUGAGAUAGCAGACCUCUUCGCAAAGGUGCUGGUUGAGCUUCAGCUGAAUGAUGAAUCUAUACGCGUGAUCGUUCUUGACAACUACAACUAUAAACGAGCUGAAGAGUCUACAGCUGGUCCCCCAGGGGCUACACCUUUAGAAGAUUAUGUUGCUCUAGAUGACCGUGACGAGUUCAGGAAAAGUCCCAAGCUGAGGUCGCAGAUAUUCCAGAUUAUAGCGGCUGAACUGCGUAACUUUUGGUUGUUGGGCUCAGAAACCUACGAAUUAGAAAAUAUUGAAGACACUCUGCAGCUUUUCGACGACAGGCGAUUUUCGAAACUAACAUUUGUCAGUCCCACCGGAGACAUCAUAACUCGACAUGGGGUUACGGCUCGUACCUGCUCGCCAUAUCACGAUAUCAUUUCGAUAUACGAGAAGUUCAAGCGGCUCAGCCGUACUGAGCAUGCACCUAAUCAAAGGAUUGCCAUCUACAAGAAGAAUGAACGGAAAAUCUGUGAAAAACUAGCCAAUAAUCAGUCGGCCUUGGCUACGGAAAGAGGAGUCAUCGCUGAAUUAAGCUAUGAGCACGUGAAUGUUCUUCACCGGAAAGUCAUGCUGGAAAAAAUGCUGAUCAUAGACGAACAUAUAAUGAAGAUAUACGGUGACCGUUAUGAAAGGGCUGAAAAGGAAUUGCAGAUGAGGAAUUACUAUGUGAACGAGGUCAGUCGUCUUGCGAAGGAGGACGAGCAAUACUCGGAAGACGAACUCCGAACCGAGCUCAAAGACAUUGCGGAAGAACUCCACCAGUUGAACGCCGAGCUGACUUCCUUUAUGGAACAGCAUGGUAACACUCAAGUGGAGCAUGCGGCACUGCAAUCUGAGAGAAUUGGACUUCAGGAACAAUUAUUGCGUCAGUACGAUGACUGGGCGAUAUAUCAAGACAGUUUGAUCGGGGAAGCCGCUUCUCGGAUCACAUGCAUAAAGCGCCACAUAGCUGAGACUAAUCGUAGGCUUGCCGGUUACGAGACCCGGCUAGCCGACCUCUCAUCGCGUAUCCCCGACACGAUCGACGCCGAGAAUAAGCUUACACAGGCUAUCGAGACGGGGGACAUUCAUACAAGCAGUGUAGGAAUGAUCGAAGAUCAGAUGACAGCCAUGCGUGCCAGGCUAACUAAUCUAAGGGGUCGGUACAAUUACUUAGGUGGAAACCCAGAUGAUACAGCAAGUGACGACGUAAGCAAGGAGAACGACGAAGAGGUCGUUGCUACAGAAGAAGAAAUGCGAACCCAGCUAAAAGACCUGUGCGAACAACUUUUAGAAUUUCCGGCUGAGUCAUUUUUGCUGGAUGAGACGAUGGCUGACAAACUCGCUGAUCAGCUAGAGAAAUAUCGAAACUUCUACGAUGCUUUGAGAUAUGUUGUUGAGACAGGCCUGGACAUGGUUGAGACUAAUUUCAUUCAGUUACGACGAGCAGUUGAGCGUUCGGCGCUUUCUGAUAUCGGCGAGCAGAUGCAAAAGGUGUUUUCGUCAAUUGUACCGCAGGGUCAAGUCACGUGGAUACCGGUCUAUUCUAGUCAGGGCGAAGGAGAUCAAAGUGAGAACGAAAGUGAUUUGGUGUCAUUAGAGGUUAAGGCCAGGUUUGGACCAACUGAGCCGCUUCGUGGUAUUGACAUGUUUUCAGGGGGUCAACGUGCGAUAAUGUCAUUGGUUUUAGCGACGGCCGGAAGCUGCAUUUGUCAACAGCAAAUUCUACUUCUUGACGAAGUCGAUGCAUCCCUUGACGAGCUACAUUGUACGAGACUUGCAGAGCUCCUCAAGGACAUAUCAACCCGAACUCAGGUGGUUCUUAUCAGUCACCGAUUCGAUUCGGAUAAGGCCUCCUUUGUUGACCAAGUGCACAAGGUCGUUCGCUACGAUGGGACUACGUUUGUCGAACCCGUAAUAAGCGUUUGAAGUUGUUAGAUCUUGUAUCCCGCUUACGCUGACUUCGCAAAGCUGUUAUAGUUUUCAGUAAAGCAUGUAUGCCAUUACAGACCAACUUUUUCGCUGGGGAAUAGGAUGUUGAUUGCGUUGACUCGGAACUGAGAAAGCAAUAAGCACAAAUAUUCAAAGCAGUUUCAAGUGAGAAAAUCUGUAACAAAAGGCCGCUUAUUUUGUUUGUGAAAAUCUUCCAUAAUAAGGUUUCGGGGUCAGGGUCUUAUCAUAGCAGGUUGGGCCUAACUUUCCGUGGGAACAUGCAGCGCGCGUUAGAUGGUGGAUUAGUAACGUUUAAAUGUUUCAUAGUGGACCGUAACGUGUGAGACAAAACAGGAGUGAAAGCUAAAGAUUCUUUACCACUAAUUGCUAUGGAACAGUGGCUGAUUAACAUUUUGAUUAAUGUUUGCAAUGUUUUAUCCCUUAUAUAAAAGGUAGCCUGUGUACUCGCAUUUUAAGGCAACAACCUGCCCAGUUAUAGGAAUAUGUCAACUGUAAUGUGGCACAAACAGCGGUAUUUUUUUUAAAUUUUUUAGCAAAUAAUAAAAUUUACUAAACUAUAUACUCUAACCAUUAGAGAAAGCAAGCUUUGAAUAGAUAUUUAUACUUUUUUCGUUAAAAAUGUGAUCAAUUGCGCCUUGUAGAGUUUUGAAUUGAGAGGAUGAACAUAAGAAGACGGUAUCAUUGUUUCUAUGAAGCAAAUUGAAAAAAAAGCAAAGACUCUGUGCUAGGAAAGCGGGACGCAUGGAAAGCAAGAUAAUAGCACAAGUCAUCGUCACAUUCAGCGUGUGACCGGCCGAUACGAUUUUUCAUGCUUUUCAGUGGAGAGUAGGCUAGAAUGCAGUCACAUAAACAAAAACCGUGAGCCUCCGAACACGUGAAUCAACGUUCGAGGUCGAUAUGCUUUGACGGUAUCUGUACCACGACUUGAAUGAUAAGAUGCUCCAAUGCAACCUCGCUUUCAUAAUCGAAUAGAAUACAAAUGCAAUGUUUAGAAUUGUUUUUGAAAGCAAAUCACAAAUAAGCACAGUAAUAACGAAAAUCUGCAAGCGGGAGCUCAUGCAAAUAGAUCAACGCAU